AACGAACGCUGGCGGCAUGCCUAACACAUGCAAGUCGAACGAGACCUUCGGGUCUAGUGGCGCACGGGUGCGUAACGCGUGGGAACCUGCCCUUAGGUUCGGAAUAACUCCCCGAAAGGGGUGCUAAUACCGGAUAAUGUCUUCGGACCAAAGAUUUAUCGCCUUUGGAUGGGCCCGCGUUGGAUUAGCUAGUUGGUAGGGUAAAAGCCUACCAAGGCGACGAUCCAUAGCUGGUCUGAGAGGAUGAUCAGCCACACUGGGACUGAGACACGGCCCAGACCCCUAGGGAGGGAAGAAGGGGGGAUAAUUGAACAUGGGCCGAAGGCUUGACCCAGCAAUGCGGGGGGAGUGAUAAAGGCUUUAGGUUUGUAAAGCUCUUUUCCCGGGGAGGUUAAGACCAGUACCGGGAGAAAAGGCCCGGCCAAAUUCGUU
rnacentral:rRNA from 1 species